GUGGCGAACGGGUGAGUAACACGUGAGCAAUCUGCCCUUGACUCUGGGAUAACUGCGGGAAACUGUAGCUAAUACCGGAUACUUUCCUCGCUGGGCAUCCAGCGGGGAAGAAAGAAUUUCGGUCAAGGAUGAGCUCGCGGCCUAUCAGCUAGUUGGUGAGGUAAAGGCUCACCAAGGCGACGACGGGUAGCCGGCCUGAGAGGGUGACCGGCCACACUGGAACUGAGACACGGUCCAGACUCCUACGGGAGGCAGCAGUGGGGAAUAUUGCACAAUGGGCGAAAGCCUGAUGCAGCAACGCCGCGUGAGGGAUGAAGGCCUUCGGGUUGUAAACCUCUUUUAGCAGGGAAGAAGCGAAAGUGACGGUACCUGCAGAAAAAGCACCGGCUAACUACGUGCCAGCAGCCGCGGUAAUACGUAGGGUGCAAGCGUUGUCCGGAAUUAUUGGGCGUAAAGAGCUCGUAGGCGGUUUGUCACGUCUGCUGUGAAAAUCCGAGACUCAACCUCGGACUUGCAGUGGGUACGGGCAGGCUAGAGUGCGGUAGGGGAGAAGGGAAUUCCUGGUGUAGCGGUGGAAUGCGCAGAUAUCAGGAGGAACACCAAUGGCGAAGGCACUUCUCUGGGCCGUAACUGACGCUGAGGAGCGAAAGCGUGGGGAGCGAACAGGAUUAGAUACCCUGGUAGUCCAC
rnacentral:rRNA from 1 species